rnacentral:rRNA from 1 species
ACACGUAAGGGGCAAGCGUUGUUCGGAAUUAUUGGGCGUAAAGGGUACGUAGGCGGUUUGGUAAGCCCGGCGUGAAAUCCUGCAGCUUAACUGUAGAGCUGCGCUGGGAACUGCGAAACUUGAGUCAUGGAAGGGGAGUUAGAAUUCCAGGUGUAGGGGUGAAAUCUGUAGAUAUCUGGAAGAAUACCGGUGGCGAAGGCGAACUCCUGGCCAAUGACUGACGCUGAGGUACGAAAGUGCGGGGAGC